GACGAAGAUUUUGCUGACGCUGUUAGUGAAUUUGGGGUACGUUUUCAGAUCCGACACUGAGAACCAAGACCUUUCCUCCAAAGUUGAUGACCCAUAUAAAAACAUGAGCAGG